ACCUUAAAAGACACUUUGGGUAAGAAUUUGUCUUCUUGACCACUGAGAGAGCCUCUUUAAAGAAAAUUGCCACUACAAUUUGGUGUCAGAAUAGUGGGAUGUCUUGGAGGAACUUUUCCGGACCCUGCGGACGGUGACUGAUCAUCCUGGGACUUCGUGUCACAGCCCUGCCCCCUUGGUUGAGGGUUGAGGGGCCGACCGCCGGGCUCGGAGAAGAACCCCACUGACAUCUGGGAAAAAGAACUCAGUGGCAUCUGAACUCUCUGGUAAGAAACAAAUUCUUUGUUUAUUGUUAAAAAAAAAAUUUAACAAGUUUUGGGUAUUUAAUUAGGCAAUUUAAAAGGGUUUUUACUGCAAUUUGGGUCAUCACCAUGCUGGCGGGUCUGUCUUUGUGGGAUAGCGACGUGAUUAAUACAAGUGAGAUCUGACAUCAGGCGGGGAUCGAGACCUUUUUUACAAGUAAGAUCUGGCGUUUAGCUGAGAUCAAGACCUUACACAAGUGAGAUCUGGUGCCUGACUAAGAUCAAGACCUUUUUAAUACGUUUGGCUAGCUAACUGCGAUUUACUCCCAGGAGGGGGUUGAAAUCAGGGGGCUGUGCGAUUUACUUCCAAAAAAGAGGUUGAAAUCCGGGCUGUGCGAUUUACUUCCAGAAGGAGGUUGAAAUCAGGGGCCAAGCGAUUUACUUCUUAAAGGGGGUUGAAAUUGGGGGCCACGAAAUUAGAGCUGCAUAGCUUAACUUUUCGAUUUUAGGUGAAAAAUCGACAUCUGUUGGAGACGUCCAACAGAUUAAUAGGAACCGACAAAGUCCAGGAUCAUUGCCAGCAUGGGGAAGUCCCAAAGUAAGGUGAGAAAAUAUGAUAAACCGGUGGUUUGGAAUAUGGGAAAAAAAAUUAUAUGGAAAACUUUUUUUAAAAAGCAUGCAAGAUAUAGGAAAACUAAUAAAGUAUUCUUUAAUAAGUUAACUAAUAAGUUUCUGAGGGAAAGGGAAUGUUGAGUGUUACUAGGUUAAACAAAAUGAAAGAGUUGAUUGAGAAGGCAGAAGGAAAAGCAGGUUGUUUUUGUGAAAGGCAUGUGUGUGUGUCGUGUGGAGACACUGUUUAUUGUUGGCUCAAAAAGGCAGAUAAGAGGCAAAGAGGAAAAUGCUGCAGAGGCAGCUGGCAUGUAGGGAAGAGAAUGAAGAAGUGGCAUGUAGGGAAAAGAAUGAAGGAGAUAAAGUGAAGGAAAAAGCAAGUGAAAGUGUGAAAGUGUAAAUGAAAGAUUAAUUAGCAUUACUAAUCUUUUCUAUACAUCUGUUUCCAUACAUGUACCGCCGUACCUUCACUAUCCUGUGGCUGAGCUGUGAGCCCUGAGAACUGACCCAGACCUCAACUGCUACUAUCCCAGAAGACCUCCGACCGCACCAACGAAAUUCCCACCUCAAGCAAGUGGAGGACAUCUGUUUGAACUGGAGAAAUGGACAUUUAACGGACAUUCUGCAACAUGCUGAAGACAAGCUGACAGUGAAGCAAGAGCAAGACAAGAAGAAAGCGGAAAGGGAGCUGUGCAUGGCUCUGAUACAAGUGGCCAACCAAAGAUCCAACCAAGACCUGACAACCAAAGAUAUCGCAAGUUUAAAGGCUACAAAGGUGUCAAGGGUGAGAAAGAUACCAGAAGAUGGAGAAACUGGAAUGUGACGGAUGGCGAUGAAAUCUGCAGAGCCUGUGGUGUACAUGACGUGAAACUGUACCAAAUGUCUGCGCUUGCCACCGAGAUGGACUUUUGGUCAAGGAUUGACCCGAAAGGUGCGAACCAACAACGGAGCUGAUGUGCGGAGAGGGAAGAGCAGAAUGGAGAGGGUCUGGGCAAGCAGCCAACAGCUACAGUAAAGGGAAGUGAACAUAUUUUUACUAACAACUUUAAAUGCAGACACAUUUUUAUACACACAUAUUCACAUACACUGACAUACUUUUGGCUCUCUGCAAUGAAGAAAGCUUGCAUUUCCUACUGUAAUUUUGAUCACAGUAAUGUUGAUCAUUUUUCUGAUGAAAUGGCAUUGUUUUUUUAAUGAAGCAUUUUUAAUAUGCCAAAAUACUCUUUGAGGAUUGAGAAUACAUUGGUUGAGUUUAGCUGAUAGUGGAGCUAGCAGAUCUUGCAUAUGACCAUGUGACCUGCAGUGUGUAAUACCUUUGACAAAAAAAAAAUUCACGAGUCUCUGUCUGCAUCUGGUCAUACAGUGAUCGAGCGAUUUACAGCUCGGCUGACCUGUGAGACAGAGGGGGGUAAAAUUUUCAACCAUGCAUUUGUUUGUUUGCCAAAAUGUCUGAUACCACUCAUUGGAGGGGAUAUUUUGUGUAAAUUAAACUUAGUUCUAACAGCAGACUUCUCAGGUGUGAGAGUGGAAAAAAAAGGAGGAAUUUUGUUGUUUGCUGGUUGAAUCACAGACUCAUUGAAAACAAUCAAUGGGCUGAUGUAAUCUGCAAAUUGGCUAAAGAUUGAGUAAAACCUUUUGACAUGGAUAUGUCUCUUGGUGAACUGCAUUGCACGUCACAUGUCGUAAUUUACAGAUUAGGAAUUUGAGAAAGCUUGGUUUGAGACAAAUGUGAAUGAAACUUUGAUUUUAGAGAAAAUGUACUGAAAGGAUAGUCUGUGUGCAGUUUCAGUGUCUCUGUCAGAAAAGCAGCUUUCAUUCUAUCUCAUGUUAGCACAGGCUGUGCCUCACAUAUCAGUUUGCAAGGGUAAACAACAGUCUUGAGCUGAUUUAGGCCUAUUUGUAAAGCAGUGUGUUGAAGCCGAAGACUGGGAGAGUAGAGAGAAAGGGUUAGAAUGGAUCGAGAGCUCGAGAGUAUUUCGGGUGGACAGUGAAACUGAAACAGCUGUUUCAAGAACUGUGACUGCUAUUGACAAAGUUUGCGUAAAGAAUUCUUGCAUGGUUGACUUUAACGCUGCAGACAUACACCCAGCUUUAGCAGAAAUACCAAAUGAAUUAUAGGCUAAAAGCAAGUAUGAUGUUGGUUUAAUCAAAGGUUGUGAUCCAGUGACAAUUGCUGCAAAAUCUGAUUACAGACCAUGCCAACAACAAUAUCCUUUGAAAAGGGAAGCCAUUGAGGGCAUUACCCCAGUAUUUAAGGCUUUACUGGAACAGGGUGUUAUUGUACCAUGCAACAAUUCUGAGGUUCGCACCGCUAUUUUUCCUGUGAAAAAGAUAAGGGAUAAUGUGAUGCCUACAGAAUGGCGUUUUGUACAAGAUUUGCAAGCAGUAAAUGCAGCUGUCAAACAAAGGGCUCCAUUAGUUCCAAAUCCGUACACAAUUUUGUCACAAACUCCUGAAAAAUCACAAUUUUAUUCAGUGGUUGAUUUGGCAAAUGCAUUUUUCAGUGUGCCAAUGUUGUCUUUUUUGGGUAUGUGCUCAUAUUGUCUCACAUUUAUUCCAAAUUAUGCAAUUUUGGAAAAACCCCUGAAAGCCCUAACACUAGGGAAGGGGAUGAAAUCCACUGACAAACUAGAGUGGACAACAGAGGCACAGCAGGCAUUUGUAAACAUGAAAUUACAAAUGGCUGAAGCCCCUGCAUUGGGUUUGCCUGUACCAACAAAACCAUUUGUUCAGAUGGUAGAUGAAAGAGGUGGGUUCAUGACGUCAUUACUCCUGCAGGAUCAUGGAGGUAGAUUGCGACCUGUGGCCUACUUUGAGCAAACCUGACCCUGCAGUAGCAGGCCUGCCACGUUGCUCAAGAGCAGUGGCGGCUGCGGGAAAAAGCUGUUAUGGCUUCAAGAGAUUUUGUUGGGUAUUCUGAUUUGAUACUGAUGGUGCCACAUUCUGUGUCCAUGAUACUCCAAGAACAAAAAACAUUGCAUCUGUCAACAGCUCGCUGGCUGAGAUAUCACACUCUUGUUAGAUAUGCUAAAUGUGACUGUUAAGUGAUGCACAGGUUUGAAUGUUGCUACUCUCCAUCAUACUGAGGAAAAUUGGGAGGAGCAUCAUUGUUGUUUAACAGGUGUGUAGACCACGACCUGACCUUUGAUGAACCACUUAAAAAUUGUAACAAUGUCCUCUUUGUGGAUGGUUCAGCAUUUAAAGAUCCACAAACAGGCCAGAAUAAAGUUGGUUACGCUGUAACAACUGAAUUUGAUGUGGUGACCUCUGGGAAAUUACCAGGGCACUAUUCGGCACAGGCCGCAGAGCUCGUGGCGUUGACAGAGGCAUGUAAAUUAAUGGCAGAAAAAGAGGCCACAAUUUACACUGACUCAAGAUAUGCAUUUGGGGUAGCUCAUGAUUUUGGGGCUCUGUGGAAACACAGAAAAUUUCUAAAGUCUGAUGGUCGACCAAUACUCAAUGUUCCUUUAGUGGCAGCGCUGCUGGAUGCGAUUUUUACUACCUGACAAACUGGCCAUUUGUAAAUGCGCAGCGCACACUAACAAUAAAGAUUCUGUUUCUGUAGGUAACUCCAGAGCAGAUGGAGCAGCAAAAGUCGCGGCAUCCCGAGACAAGGAUUACUCCGAAUGUUCUUUGCUAUCUGUUGAUGAUAACAAUGAAUGAGUGUUCUUUGCAGGAUAUGCAGACCUUUGCGAUGGGGCUGGAGAAAAACAAGUGGAGACAGUCUGGCUGUGUUAUGAAAGAUAAUGUGUGGAAGUGUGCUGAGGGCAAGGCAAGUUUACCAAAACAUUUUUUCCAACAUUAUGAGAAAUUACUACACGGUAAAGAUCAUGCGUCAAAAACAGCAAUGGUUGCGCAAAUGAAUGAACUGUGGUUCACAAAGGGGUUCACUACAUUUGCGGACAAUUUCUGUAGACGAUGAGUAAUUUGCAACACACAUAAUGUGGCCAAAGCGAUAAAAGUUCCACAAUCAUCUCAUCCACCUCCAACAGGGCCAUUUGAAUAUUUGAUGAUGGAUUUCAUUGAAUUGUCCCCAUGCAAUAAGAAAAGGUACUCUUUGGUGAUGGUUGACAUGUGGUCAAAAUGGGUUGAAGUUUUUCCAACCUCAAAACAAGAUUUGGCUGCGGUAGCAAAAACGUUACUGACUGAAAUUAUACCGCGAUGGGGAAUACCACGAAAAAUAAGUUCAGAUAAUGGUACUCAUUUUGUUAAUGAAGCAAUCAAACAAGUGGGCCAAUAUUUGGAAAUUGAUUUGAGAACACAUUGCAGUUACCAUCCAGCUUCAGGAGGAGUUGCUGAGAGAAAAAAUGGUACACUGAAGAACAAAUUGGCAAAAUGCUGUGAAGACACAGGGCUUACAUGGGUUCAAGCUUUACCCAUUGUCCUGAUGUACAUGAAAAUGAGAAAAAGAUCAAAAAUGAAUUUGAGCCCGUUUGAAAUUCUCUUUGGUAAACCACCACGUGUAGAUGUGAAUGGGGGAAAACAGCAGCUGCCCUCAACAGAUGUGUGUGAGAAUGACAUGUUGAAUUACUGUAAAGAAAUGUCUCAUGUGUUGUCCGAUGUUUGUGUGCAGGUAAAGGCCGCACAGGGGAAGGCUGUUGAGAAACCACUGCACAGUCUGAGGUCUGGCGAUUUCGUGGUGAUCAGGGACCUGAGAAGAAAGAGCUGGAGAGCGAAGCGCUGGUUGGGUCCAUUUCAAGUGCUAUUGAUCACUGAGACGGCGGUGAAGGUCGCAGAGCGGGCAACGUGGGUGCAUGAUGGCCACUGCAGGAAAAUUCCAUCUCCUGAGGAGGAUUCCACGAGAGAGAAGGAGAGAAAGAGGGACUCAGAAACCGUCUGAAGAAAACAUCAGGCUGUUAUCUGAGGGAAGCAAGGUCACAGCUGGGGAGAAACAACAACAACUCAAGAGUUCCUACGUCACCGGCUAGCAGCCCCCACGGACCUUCUGAAUGCAGUAUUGAGGCACAACAUUCACCAAGCCCUCAAUGCUGGACUGAUGACGGUGAAUCCAUCAAUGGUUAUGCCUCAACGCUAGGUGGCGGUCGCAGCCCUGUAUAUACACCAUACCUGUCUUUAGAAGUAGAAGAAGAAGACGAGCUGGAAAAGCAGGAAGAAAACAAUCAUGUCGGAGACCACGUUUUCCAACAACAACAAGCCGAUGAUCUCACACAAACAGGAUCCAACUCUAUCGUCGAACCACAUUUUAAUCAACUAGUUCUGCAAUAUCUGGAGCGAAACCAGGUAAAAAUUAAUCAGAUAUCUGAAUAUGUUUUACACCAGCAGCGUGAUAUAGAUGAACAACUAAGGGGUGCAAAUCAGAAACUGACUGAGGUAUUAAAUUUACUGAACAAAGCUGAACGUUAUCGCCGUGUUUUAGGUUCAAUACUCUGUUCUAUAAAAAAUGCUUUGGUACGUUGAUGAUUGAUCAAUAACACUGUUUUUAUUUACUCAUUACUAGAUUUUGAUUUAUGUUAGCUAGCCUUAUGUUUUAGUUAUUCGUUUUGAUCAAAUGUGUUAAGUUUGUGUUUAAUAUUUGAUCUCUUUUGUCAAAUGACUUGUUUGUUUAGUUAGAAUUAAAAUUUUCCCCUGUAUUAAUUUUCUUAAU